GGGCGGAUCGUGGUGGCUGCGCUUGCGAGGACCCUGAGGUAGAUUGGGUGGUUUCAACAGGAACGCAUCCACUGUCUGAGAGUUUAAACUUGAUUUUGUGAGGGGACGAACAGCGUGACAAUUAAAAGAAGAUCUGGGAAUCAAGAGAAGACAUGGAGAAGAGGAGGGAGUAGUUGUGACCGUGGAGGCAGAGAAUGGAGUAAUGUGAUCAUAAAUCAAGGAAUGCUGACAGCCACUAAAGCUGGAGAAGGCCAAGGACAGAUAUUCAAUCCUCCCGUAGAAGUACAGCCCUGCUAAUGCAUUGAUUUUGGACUUCUGGCCUCAGAACUGUAAGAGAAUAAAUUUCUAUUGUUUUAAGC
rnacentral:lncRNA from 1 species